UAAUACGGAGGGUGCAAGCGUUACUCGGAAUUACUGGGCGUAAAGCGUGUGUAGGCGGUUGGGUAUGUCGGAUGUGAAAGCCCCCGGCUCAACCGGGGAAGUGCAUUCGAAACCGCCCAGCUAGAGUACGGGAGAGGGAAGUGGAAUUCCCAGUGUAGAGGUGAAAUUCGUAGAUAUUGGGAGGAACACCGGUGGCGAAGGCGACUUCCUGGACCGAUACUGACGCUCAGACACGAAAGCGUGGGGAGCAAACAGGAUUAGAUACCCUGGUAGUCCACGCCGUAAACGAUGGGCACUAGGUGUAGGGGGUAUUGACCCCUCCUGUGCCGCAGCUAACGCAUUAAGUGCCCCGCCUGGGGAGUACGACCGCAAGGUUA
rnacentral:rRNA from 1 species